AGAGUUUGAUUCUGGCUCAGAACGAACGCUGGCAGCGUGGAUUAGGCAUGCAAGUCGAACGGGAUCCGGGGCUAUAGCAAUAUAAUCUCGGUGAUAGUGGCGGAAGGGUGAGUAACGCGUGGGUAAGCUACCUCGAAGUUGGGGACAACCAGGUGAAAAUCUGGCUAAUACCGAAUGUGGUCUCUUGGCGCAUGUCAGGAUGACUAAAGGCGGGGAUCCUUUUGGACCUGUCGCUUUGAGAGGCACCCGCGUGCCAUCAGCUUGUUGGUAGGGUAACGGCCUACCAAGGCUUACGGCUAGCCGGCCUGAGAGGGUGACCGGCCACACUGGGACUGAGACACUGCCCAGACUCCUACGGGAGGCUGCAGUCGAGGAUCAUUCGCAAUGCGCGAAAGCGUGACGAUGCGACGCUGCGUGGAGGAUGAAGGCCCUAGGGUUGUAAACUCCUGUCAUGAGGGAAAAGCCGUCCUGCCCAUAACAUGGGCGGGACCCGAUGGUACCUCAAGAGGAAGCCACGGCUAACUCUGUGCCAGCAGCCGCGGUAAUACAGAGGUGGCGAGCGUUAUUCGGAUUUACUGGGCGUAAAGGGUGCGUAGGUGGCUUCGUAUGUCGGACGUGAAAGCCCAUGGCUCAACCGUGGAAUUGCAUUUGAAACUGCGAGACUAGAGUGCAGGAUGGGGGAGCGGAAUUCUUGGUGUAGCGGUGAAAUGCGUUGAUAUCAGGAAGAACACCGGUGGCGAAGGCGGCUCUCUCGAAUGCUACUGACACUGAGGCACGAAAGCUGGGGGAGCAAACAGGAUUAGAUACCCUGGUAGUCCCAGCCGUAAACGGUGCACACUUGGUGUGGGGAGAUUUAACCCUCUCCGUGCCGGAGCUAACGCGUUAAGUGUGCCGCCUGGGGAGUACGGCCGCAAGGCUAAAACUCAAAGAAAUUGACGGGGGCCCGCACAAGCGGAGGAGCAUGUGGCUUAAUUCGAUGCAACGCGAAGAACCUUACCAGGGCUUGGCAUAUACCUGCAAGCCCCCUGAAAGGGGGGGCCGCCUUCGAGGGUGGUAUACAGGUGCUGCAUGGCUGUCGUCAGUUCGUGCCGUGAGGUGUUGGGUUAAGUCCCGUAACGAACGCAACCCUUGUGACUAGUUGCCACCGGCGGUGAUGAGCCGUCGAGCACUCUAGUCAGACUGCCCGUACAAGCGGGAGGAAGGUGGGGAUGACGUCAAGUCAGUAUGGCCCUUACGCCCUGGGCUGCACACGUGCUACAAUGGACGGUACAAUGGGAGGCAAUACCGCAAGGUGGAGCAAAUCCACAAAACCGUCCUCAGUCCGGAUUGAAGUCUGCAACUCGACUUCAUGAAGUUGGAUUCGCUAGUAACGGCGCAUCAGCUACGGCGCCGUGAAUACGUUCCCGGGCCUUGUACACACCGCCCGUCACAUCAUGGAAGCCGUCUGCACCCGAAGUCGCUGUACCAACCCGCAAGGGGGGAAGGUGCCGAAGGUGUGGGUGGUGAUUGGGAUGAAGUCGCAACAAGGUA
rnacentral:rRNA from 1 species